ACCGUGUACGUACAAGCAGUGGGAGCACGCUUAGGCGUGUGACUGCGUACCUUUUGUAUAAUGGGUCAGCGACUUAUAUUCUGUAGCAAGGUUAACCGAAUAGGGGAGCCGAAGGGAAACCGAGUCUUAACUGGGCGUUAAGUUGCAGGGUAUAGACCCGAAACCCGGUGAUCUAGCCAUGGGCAGGUUGAAGGUUGGGUAACACUAACUGGAGGACCGAACCGACUAAUGUUGAAAAAUUAGCGGAUGACUUGUGGCUGGGGGUGAAAGGCCAAUCAAACCGGGAGAUAGCUGGUUCUCCCCGAAAGCUAUUUAGGUAGCGCCUCGUGAAUUCAUCUCCGGGGGUAGAGCACUGUUUCGGCAAGGGGGUCAUCCCGACUUACCAACCCGAUGCAAACUGCGAAUACCGGAGAAUGUUAUCACGGGAGACACACGGCGGGUGCUAACGUCCGUCGUGAAGAGGGAAACAACCCAGACCGCCAGCUAAGGUCCCAAAGUCAUGGUUAAGUGGGAAACGAUGUGGGAAGGCCCAGACAGCCAGGAUGUUGGCUUAGAAGCAGCCAUCAUUUAAAGAAAGCGUAAUAGCUCACUGGUCGAGUCGGCCUGCGCGGAAGAUGUAACGGGGCUAAACCAUGCACCGAAGCUGCGGCAGCGACGCUUAUGCGUUGUUGGGUAGGGGAGCGUUCUGUAAGCCUGCGAAGGUGUGCUGUGAGGCAUGCUGGAGGUAUCAGAAGUGCGAAUGCUGACAUAAGUAACGAUAAAGCGGGUGAAAAGCCCGCUCGCCGGAAGACCAAGGGUUCCUGUCCAACGUUAAUCGGGGCAGGGUGAGUCGACCCCUAAGGCGAGGCCGAAAGGCGUAGUCGAUGGGAAACAGGUUAAUAUUCCUGUACUUGGUGUUACUGCGAAGGGGGGACGGAGAAGGCUAUGUUGGCCGGGCGACGGUUGUCCCGGUUUAAGCGUGUAGGCUGGUUUUCCAGGCAAAUCCGGAAAAUCAAGGCUGAGGCGUGAUGACGAGGCACUACGGUGCUGAAGCAACAAAUGCCCUGCUUCCAGGAAAAGCCUCUAAGCAUCAGGUAACAUCAAAUCGUACCCCAAACCGACACAGGUGGUCAGGUAGAGAAUACCAAGGCGCUUGAGAGAACUCGGGUGAAGGAACUAGGCAAAAUGGUGCCGUAACUUCGGGAGAAGGCACGCUGAUAUGUAGGUGAAGUCCCUUGCGGAUGGAGCUGAAAUCAGUCGAAGAUACCAGCUGGCUGCAACUGUUUAUUAAAAACACAGCACUGUGCAAACACGAAAGUGGACGUAUACGGUGUGACGCCUGCCCGGUGCCGGAAGGUUAAUUGAUGGGGUCAGCGCAAGCGAAGCUCUUGAUCGAAGCCCCGGUAAACGGCGGCCGUAACUAUAACGGUCCUAAGGUAGCGAAAUUCCUUGUCGGGUAAGUUCCGACCUGCACGAAUGGCGUAAUGAUGGCCAGGCUGUCUCCACCCGAGACUCAGUGAAAUUGAACUCGCUGUGAAGAUGCAGUGUACCCGCGGCAAGACGGAAAGACCCCGUGAACCUUUACUAUAGCUUGACACUGAACAUUGAGCCUUGAUGUGUAGGAUAGGUGGGAGGCUUUGAAGUGUGGACGCCAGUCUGCAUGGAGCCGGCCUUGAAAUACCACCCUUUAAUGUUUGAUGUUCUAACGUGGACCCGUGAUCCGGGUUGCGGACAGUGUCUGGUGGGUAGUUUGACUGGGGCGGUCUCCUCCUAAAGAGUAACGGAGGAGCACGAAGGUUGGCUAAUCCUGGUCGGACAUCAGGAGGUUAGUGCAAUGGCAUAAGCCAGCUUGACUGCGAGCGUGACGGCGCGAGCAGGUGCGAAAGCAGGUCAUAGUGAUCCGGUGGUUCUGAAUGGAAGGGCCAUCGCUCAACGGAUAAAAGGUACUCCGGGGAUAACAGGCUGAUACCGCCCAAGAGUUCAUAUCGACGGCGGUGUUUGGCACCUCGAUGUCGGCUCAUCACAUCCUGGGGCUGAAGUAGGUCCCAAGGGUAUGGCUGUUCGCCAUUUAAAGUGGUACGCGAGCUGGGUUUAGAACGUCGUGAGACAGUUCGGUCCCUAUCUGCCGUGGGCGCUGGAGAACUGAGGGGGGCUGCUCCUAGUACGAGAGGACCGGAGUGGACGCAUCACUGGUGUUCGGGUUGUCAUGCCAAUGGCACUGCCCGGUAGCUAAAUGCGGAAGAGAUAAGUGCUGAAAGCAUCUAAGCACGAAACUUGCCCCGAGAUGAGUUCUCCCUGACCCUUUAAGGGUCCUGAAGGAACGUUGAAGACGACGACGUUGAUAGGCCGGGUGUGUAAGCGCAGCGAUGCGUUGAGCUAACCGGUACUAAUGAACCGUGAG
rnacentral:rRNA from 1 species